rnacentral:rRNA from 1 species
GGGGUAAAAUUAAUGAGGUUAGAUAAUAAUAAAAAAAAUUUUAAUGUUAAAAUAUGAUAAUUGGGGGGUUAGAGUAUUUUAAUAGAAAAAAUUUUAAAAUUUAUAGUUGAUUAGUAUUGUGUGAGAAAUUUGAAAUAUGUUGAAAUAUGUAUUUUUUAUAAAGUAGAUUUAGUUUAUUGUAUCUUGUGUAUCAGAGUUUAUUAAUUUUUUUUUAUGAUUUAAAUUUCUCGAAUUUAAAAGAGUUAAUUAAUUAUUAGGUUUAUUGUUUCAUAAAUAUUUUAAAUAAUUGAUUAGAAAUGAAAUGUUAUUCGUUUUUAAAUAUAUCUAGUUUUUUAAAAAAAAAAUUUAAUUUUUAAUUAAUAGGUAAAUUAGUUGAUUUUUUAUAACUGAUUUUAAUUAUUAAUUUUAUAUUUUAAGGGAUAAGCUUUAAAUUAAAUUUUUAUAAUUGAUAUUUUUUUAUAUUGAAAAUUUUAUAAUUUGAAUUGUUAAUAAAUUUUAUUUUAUUAUAAAUAAUUUCAUUAAAUUUAAGAUUUAAUUUAAAUUUAAUAUUUUAUUAAAAAGAAAAUAUAAAUUAUUUAUAUUAAAUUAUAAUGAUAAAAUUAGUAUAUAACUAUAUUUUAUAUUUUGAAUAAAAUUUAUAUUUUAAAUAAAUAUUUAAAAGGAAUUCGACAAAAAUUUAUAUUCACCUGUUUAUCAAAAACAUGUCUUUUUGAUGAUAAUUUAAAGUCUAAUCUGCCCACUGAUUAAUUAAUUGAAGGGCUGCAGUAUAUUGACUGUACAAAGGUAGCAUAAUCAUUAGUCUCUUAAUUGGUGACUUGUAUGAAAGAUUGGAUGAAAUAUAGAUUGUCUCUUAAAUAUAGGGUUGAAUUUAAUUUUUUAAUUAAAAAGUUAAAAUAAUUUAAAAAGACGAGAAGACCCUAUAGAGUUUUAUAAUUAUUUAAUUUUGACUUAUAAAUUGGUUUAAUUAAUUUAAAUUUAAUUUAAUUAUUUUAUUGGGGUGAUAAAAAAAUUAAAUUAACUUUUUUUAAUUUAAUUCAUUAAUUUAUGAGUUAUUGAUCCAGUAUUAUUGAUUAUAAGAAAAAAUUACCUUAGGGAUAACAGCGUAAUUUUUUUUUUUAGUACUUAUAAGAAAGAGAGUUUGCGACCUCGAUGUUGGAUUAAGAUAAAAUUUAAAUGUAAAAGUUUAAAAUUUUUGAUCUGUUCGAUCAUUAAAAUCUUACAUGAUCUGAGUUCAAACCGGUGUAAGCCAGGUUGGUUUCUAUCUUUUAAUUAUUUUAAUAUUUUAGUACGAAAGGAGUAAGUAUUAUAAUUAAAUUAAUUUUUAAGAAUUUUAUUAAUAAUUGAAUAAACUUAUUA